CCUGCACGAAUGGCGUAAUGAUGGCCAGGCUGUCUCCACCCGAGACUCAGUGAAAUUGAACUCGCUGUGAAGAUGCAGUGUACCCGCGGCAAGACGGAAAGACCCCGUGAACCUUUACUAUAGCUUGACACUGAACAUUGAGCCUUGAUGUGUAGGAUAGGUGGGAGGCUUUGAAGCGUGGACGCCAGUCUGCGUGGAGCCGACCUUGAAAUACCACCCUUUAAUGUUUGAUGUUCUAACGUGGACCCGUGAUCCGGGUUGCGGACAGUGUCUGGUGGGUAGUUUGACUGGGGCGGUCUCCUCCUAAAGAGUAACGGAGGAGCACGAAGGUUGGCUAAUCCUGGUCGGACAUCAGGAGGUUAGUGCAAUGGCAUAAGCCAGCUUGACUGCGAGCGUGACGGCGCGAGCAGGUGCGAAAGCAGGUCAUAGUGAUCCGGUGGUUCUGAAUGGAAGGGCCAUCGCUCAACGGAUAAAAGGUACUCCGGGGAUAACAGGCUGAUACCGCCCAAGAGUUCAUAUCGACGGCGGUGUUUGGCACCUCGAUGUCGGCUCAUCACAUCCUGGGGCUGAAGUAGGUCCCAAGGGUAUGGCUGUUCGCCAUUUAAAGUGGUACGCGAGCUGGGUUUAGAACGUCGUGAGACAGUUCGGUCCCUAUCUGCCGUGGGCGCUGGAGAACUGAGGGGGGCUGCUCCUAGUACGAGAGGACCGGAGUGGACGCAUCACUGGUGUUCGGGUUGUCAUGCCAAUGGCACUGCCCGGUAGCUAAAUGCGGAAGAGAUAAGUGCUGAAAGCAUCUAAGCACGAAACUUGCCCCGAGAUGAGUUCUCCCUGAGACUUA
rnacentral:rRNA from 1 species